UCGGCUUGGGAGCAAGCGUUGUUCGGAUUUACUGGGCGUAAAGGGCGCGUAGGCGGCGCAACAAGUCACUUGUGAAAUCUCCGGGCUUAACCCGGAGCGGCCAAGUGAUACUGUCGUGCUAGAGUGCGGAAGGGGCUACUGGAAUUNUCGGUGUAGCGGUGAAAUGCGUAGAUAUCGAGAGGAACACCUGCGGCGAAGGCGGGUAGCUGGNCCGACACUGACGCUGAGGCGCGAAAGCCAGGGGAGCGAACGGGAUUAGAUACCCCGGUAUUCCUGCCCUUAAACGAUGGAUGCUUGGUGUCCGGGGUUACAUAGUACCCCGGGUGCCGGCGCUAACGCAUUAAGCAUCCCGCCUGGGGAGUA
rnacentral:rRNA from 1 species